UACAGAGGGUGCGAGCGUUGUCCGGAAUCAUUGGGCGUAAAGCGCGCGUAGGCGGACCUGCAAGUCGGGGGUGAAAUCCCGAGGCUCAACCUCGGAACUGCCUUCGAUACUGCGGGUCUCGAGUCCGGGAGAGGUGAGUGGAAUUCCUAGUGUAGAGGUGAAAUUCGUAGAUAUUAGGAAGAACACCAGUGGCGAAGGCGGCUCACUGGCCCGGUACUGACGCUGAGGCGCGAAAGCGUGGGGAGCAAACAGG
rnacentral:rRNA from 1 species